CUGCCCUCCCUUGCCCUCUCGGCUUUGAUACCAGCUGCGUAUUCCUCACUCCAGAGGAAGAGCAGAGGCUAGCGGCAGCCGGGCGGAAGUCGGGGUGAGAAGAACCAGACUUACUUUUACGGUAGAGAACCAUCUUUGCCUGGAAAAGUGUGCACUUGAUAGAGGUGAGACCUGCAGGAACCCAGGCAAGGAAAUGUCACUACACUGCUUUCAAUCAUGAUAAAGGAGAAAAAAAAGUGCCCUUGAUAAAAGUGGGGAGAACAGAAGAGAGAGAGAGAGGAGAGAGAAAUCAGCAAUCAGAGACUGGAUCUAGAAAACAAAACCAAUAGGGGCUUCCCUGGUGUUGCAGUGGUUAAGAAUCUGCCUGCCAAUGCAGGGGACACGGACGGGUUCGAGCCUUGGUACUGGAAGAUCCCACAUGCCGCGGAGCAACUAAGCCCGUGGGCCACAACUACUGAGCCUGCAUUCUAGAGCCUGCGAGCCACAACUACUGAAGCCUGUGCACCUAGAGCCCCGUGCUCCGCAACAAGAAAAGCCACCAAGAUGAGAAGCCUGCACACGGCAACAAAGAGUAGCCCUCGCUCUCCACAACUAGAGAAAAGCCCGCACUCAGCAAUGAAGACCCAACGCAGCCAAAAAUAAAUAAAUAAAUUUAUAAAAAAACACAAAAAUCAAAAACCCAAAUAUACAGUCCUGUGUUGGAGGACUCUGGCUAACAAGAAGGAGUUUAAAAUCCCUUCUGGAG